UUGAUAGUCGCGAGAGAGGUCCUUGUCGUUUGUGAGGACGCCGAAGGUGCAAGUCUCUGCUGAAGACGUGGGGGCGAAACUCUCAGGCAAAAGGAUCGCGAUUAGACG
rnacentral:ncRNA from 2 species